rnacentral:rRNA from 1 species
AUUGAACGCUGGCGGCAGGCCUAACACAUGCAAGUCGAGCGGUAGAUACUUUCGGGUAUUGAGAGCGGCGGACGGGUGAGUAACGCGUGGGAAUCUGGCUCUUAGUGGGGGACAACUUGUGGAAACGCAAGCUAAUACCGCAUACGCCCCAAGGGGGAAAGCAGGGGAUCUUCGGACCUUGCGCUAAGAGAUGAGCCCGCGUCGGAUUAGCUAGUUGGUAGGGUAAAGGCCUACCAAGGCGACGAUCCGUAACUGGUCUGAGAGGAUGAUCAGUCACACUGGAACUGAGACACGGUCCAGACUCCUACGGGAGGCAGCAGUGGGGAAUAUUGGACAAUGGGGCAACCCUGAUCCAGCCAUGCCGCGUGUGUGAAGAAGGCCUCGGUUGUA